AGAGCGAACGCUGGCGGCAGGCUUAACACAUGCAAGUCGAGCGGGCGUAGCAAUACGUCAGCGGCAGACGGGUGAGUAACGCGUGGGAACGUACCUUUGGUUCGGAACAACCCAGGGAAACUUGGGCUAAUACCGGAUAAGCCCUUACGGGGAAAGAUUUAUCGCCGAAAGAUCGGCCCGCGUCUGAUUAGCUAGUUGGUGAGGUAAUGGCUCACCAAGGCGACGAUCAGUAGCUGGUCUGAGAGGAUGAUCAGCCACAUUGGGACUGAGACACGGCCCAAACUCCUACGGGAGGCAGCAGUGGGGAAUAUGGACAAUGGGCGCAAGCCUGAUCCAGCCAUGCCGCGUGAGUGAUGAAGGCCCUAGGGUUGUAAAGCUCUUUUGUGCGGGAAGAUAAUGACGGUACCGCAAGAAUAAGCCCCGGCUAACUUCGUGCCAGCAGCCGC
rnacentral:rRNA from 1 species